rnacentral:rRNA from 1 species
CUGACGCUAAAGCUCGAAGGUGCGGGUAUCGAACAGGAUUAGAUACCCUGGUAGUCCGCACGGUAAACGAUGGAUGCCCGCUGUUUGCGAUACACUGUGAGCGGCCAAGCGAAAGCGUUAAGCAUCCCACCUGGGGAGUACGCCGGCAACGGUGAAACUCAAAGGAAUUGGCGGGGGCCCGCACAAGCGGAGGAACAUGUGGUUUAAUUCGAUGAUACGCGAGGAACCUUACCCGGGCUUGAACUGCCGGUGAGCGAAACAGAGAUGUUGAGGUCCUUCGGGACGCCGGUGGAGGUGCUGCAUGGUUGUCGUCAGCUCGUGCCGUGAGGUGUCGGCUUAAGUGCCAUAACGAGCGCAACCCCUCUCCGUAGUUGCCAUCGGGUGAUGCCGGGCACUCUGCGGACACUGCCACCGUAAGGUGCGAGGAAGGUGGGGAUGACGUCAAAUCAGCACGGCCCUUACGUCCGGGGCUACACACGUGUUACAAUGGGUGGUACAGAGAGCCGGGAGUACGCAAGUGCCCCCUAAUCAUGAAAUCCAUCCUCAGUUCGGACUGGGGUCUGCAACCCGACCCCACGAAGCUGGAUCGCUAGUAAUCGCG